rnacentral:tRNA from 1 species
GCUCAGUUGGUAAAGCACAAGGUUCUUAACCUUGUGGACGUGGAUUCAAGUCCCAU